rnacentral:rRNA from 1 species
UGGGGAAUCUUGGACAAUGGGCGCAAGCCUGAUCCAGCCAUGCCGCGUGGAUGAUGAAGGCCCUAGGGUUGUAAAAUCCUUUCGUUGGGGACGAUAAUGACGGUACCCAAAGAAGAAGCUCCGGCUAACUUCGUGCCAGCAGCCGCGGUAAUACGAAGGGGGCUAGCGUUGUUCGGAUUUACUGGGCGUAAAGCGCGUGUAGGCGGGUCGUUAAGUUGGGGUGAAAUCCCGAGGCUCAACCUCGGAACUGCCUUCAAAACUGGCGACCUGGACUCAAGCAGAGGCAAGUGGAAUUGCGAGUGUAGAGGUGAAAUUCGUAGAUAUUCGCAGGAACACCAGUGGCGAAGGCGACUUGCUGGGCUUGUAGUGACGCUGAGACGCGAAAGCGUGGGGAGCAAACAG